GACGAACGCUGGCGGCGUGCUUAACACAUGCAAGUCGAACGAAGUGGCGCACGGGUGAGUAACGCGUAAUCAACCUGCCCUUCAGAGGGGGACAACAGUUGGAAACGACUGCUCAUACCGCAUCCUGAAGGCGGGGAUUGCGUCUGAUUAGCUAGUUGGAGGGGUAACGGCCCACCAAGGCGAUGAUCAGUAGCAGCUCUGAGGGGAUGAACGGCCAGACUGGGACUGAGACACGGCCCAGACGCCUACGGGAGGGAGCCGUGGGGAAUCUUCCGGAAUGGACGAGAGUCUGACGGAGCAACGCCGCGUGAGUGAGGACGGCCUUCGGGUUGUAGAGCUCUGUUAAUCGGGACGCGGUACCGGAAUAGAAAGCCACGGCUAACUACGUGCCAGCCGCCGCGGUAAUAC
rnacentral:rRNA from 1 species